GGAUGAGGAAUUAAAUGAAAAUUUCUUCAAGGCACUAUCUCAUGUUCAAGAAAUUCAUGCCAAUUGCAAAAUACUACUAAGGACGCAUCAUCAGCGCGCUGGUUUGGAGCUCAUGGAUAUGAUGGCAGUGUACCAAGAAGGAGCUUAUGAGCGUCUAUGCAGGUGGGUUCAGGNNAGGAAAUUGGGUGAUGCUGAUAAUCCUGAAGUUGGUGAACUUUUAAAAAUAGCAGUCCGAC
rnacentral:misc_RNA from 1 species